UUCCUGUUUGACAGUAGGCACUUUAUUUGAGCACAAAAUAACACAAAGGAGCAUUAUUUUUAAAAGGCACAAGGCAAUCAGCAGAACUUUACAUGUACAUUCUUCAGUUGGUAUCAAAUGUGAUUUUAAGAAAAGGAAAAGGCUAUGUGUUGAACAGUAUCUACAUUCAUAAACUGCUUUAAUGGAGAACUGUUUGUUUCACUGAUCCCUGUGAUGAGAAUCAGUUUGUAGUGUAUUAACAUGUCAUUUUUUAUAAGCUAAAAGACAUAUAUGAGCAGAAACAAUCAUGAACGAAAAUCUCCACCUCGUGACUGUAGUGUACCAGUGACCUCAUAAUCUCAGAUUCAGACAGUGAUAGUUUCAUACGCUGCAAGCCUAAGAAAUAAAUUCAUCAAUGUAGCUGAUUUGUCAGAGUGGGGACUUGGAAACAAGCUUUAUCUAACACUAACAACACACUAGUAGCUGCUUCAUAAUGAAGUCUAAGAUUUAUGUUGUCUAUGUGCACUUGAUUCAUUUCAGCUCAGUGUAAGUCUGCGGCUGUUUAGUUGCUCUCUGUUUCAAUGAGUAUGUCCUCUGCUACACUCUGUGUGUGAAGCAGAGUGUAGCAGAGGAGUGAAAACCAUGGUAGCCGACUUGAGGAAAAUACAGUACGCUACUGUCACUGUAAUAAAAAGUUUCCAACUAGUGCUAAUCCAUCUAAAACACGGAGCGAUUACUUUCUUGGGAAAAAUUCUAAAUGUGUAAUUUGGUGGUAGAGUGGGUCACCGCCUCAUCCAGUCUGCAUGUUAAUGCAUCCUUGGGAACUCAAAGCACAUUCACUCUUGUACUCUUAGUUAAGCUAGCACUGGAAAGGAAAUGUGUUCAUUUUUGGAAAGAAGAGAAUUAUAUGUGAGGUUUUGGAUGAAAGCUUAGUCAGCCAGCUGAUUAUGAGAUUGCUUGUUUCACAUCCUUGGAAAACGCAGGCAUGCAGGCAAAGCAUAAACAGCACUUGUUCUGCUUUUGUGCAAAACAUUUAAUGUUUAAUUAUGCAAGCGGUGCUGCUUAGUGACAACUGAUACAAAUCUGCAUAGUGGCGCGCAUCAAAGUCAGAAAUAGAAGCAGCGAUUUAAAAAAAGGACUCUGCUGUUUUCAGACGCUUGUUUGGCAUAUGUUUCGACUUAUUGCGUAACAGUGAUUGUCUUUUAUUUGUAAGAUAUUCAAAUAUGUACACAGUUCCAGUCUUCUGCAGUGGGGGAAAUUUGCCUGUCCUCACCUCCUCGAGGGCUGUUUCAGUGCUUGCAAUAAAAUAUAAAUAUUUGAGUUCUGACAAGUACGCCUGUGCAGACAUAAAGAAAUUUGGGGGAUCUGGUUGUGUUUAUCCUCUUCAGUUGCCGUGUUCAAUAAAUUUGCCAAAUAAUACAAAACAGUAUUUAUCAUUGUGUCAGUUCCCUGCAAAAACUGGCAAAAGGAACACUAAUCUGGUCCUGAUGAGUUGAUAGAGUUAGUUGUUUCAUGUCGGUGCCAACAGAGCACUGCGGCAUAUUUGCUGUGCAUGUGGUACUCCACCAACAUUUGGGGGCGUAUUUCAAAAUCUGCCAGUCACUUGAGCUGUUAAAUAGACUUAAAUUUGAUUAUUUCUUUAAGUGUCCUGCAACAUGCAGCUAUUUAAUAGGCAACAGAUGUUUCUUAGAGCUGGUGUUGAAACCAAAUAUAAUGGCUGGGUUGCACCUGGGGAACAACUUUGAACCAUAGAAAAUUAGCUAAUUGGCAGGAACUGUGGUCAAAUUAUAACAUAUAAUGGUCUCACUUGUGGUUCUGUGCAAAAUCAUUAUGGUAACAUGUUAAGAUAUGUAAGGUAGAUGGUUGCUAUGAAUUUAAAAUGCAUGCUUCAAGUUCUUCCAAAAUUUGGCUCUCAAUGUGUGUUUUAUGAGAAAGGAUGCAUUCAGCUUGUUUAUUAGUGUCCAAAAGGUUUAUUUUGUCGGGGAAUCACGACCUCAGACCCUUAAAUACAGCUACAACCUCACCGGGAUCAAAACAGGAGCUUGAAGGUGGUGUUUUCCCCACCCUGUGUAAAGCCAAGACUGGAGAAGCUGUUGUGUUUGGACACCCAGUCUGUCAAAGUGAAACUGGACUCGUGAAGCCCUCCCCUUGAAAAUAUAUAUCUAUGUUCAGCACGCCACGCUGCUUGCAAAAUAUAAACACAGCAUGAAUCUUGGAUGGGAGCUCGAAACAGAGCAUAGCUGGAAAAGAUCUCAACGCUGACUUACAUGAGGUCUAGAUUUUCGAGUGCCCCACGGUGAUGGCUUAGUUUCUCUUUCCAGGUCUUGUAGAGAGCAAGAGAUGGACAAUUUGUCUGACUCGUGGUCUGGCAGUUUCAAGAGCAAUGCUUUCAACUGUUGUCCAAAACCACUUUUGUGCAUUUUUGUGCGUAACCACUCACACACACACACACACACACACACACACACACACACACACACACACACACACACACACACACACACACAUACACACACAGAAAAACAGACAAGAUCUGAUUUCAAACUAAAAGCAAUAUUUUACCAAAACACAUCAAAAACAGGCCUUGCUCAAUAAUAAGAACUGAACUGCAAAGGUAAACAUCGCGGGAUGGUGAUGUUUUAUCUUUCACAAUGCAACAGAUUUAACUAAACACGUGUUGGAUUGUCAGCAGACCACACAUAUAUAUCUUCUCUUCCUAUCUCACAAUACGACCCUUCUAAUUACCAUCUGCUUGGUGAGUAGCAUUUACAUAUGAUAAACUUUGGUUUUACUUUAAGUCGCCUCAUUAAUUUGAACUUUAUGCUCUUGCUUUCUCCUGCACUAUACUUUCAAUCCUGCCAAUAUUCACCAAAAUAGCAACCAUGUUGUAUUUAGUAAGGCUUAGAAGUCGUAAUUGAGACCAUAAACACAUCAGGAAUGUGUUUAGAGUGGCUGCAGAUAAGUUAAAAAGUUAGACUUUUUGCUCAUUGGCCUCCAUACAAUCUGACUUCUUUUUGCAACCGCAAGAGUCGCCCCCUGCUGGACAUUAGUAAAAAUGUAGGUUUAAGGCACAUGAACGUUAUGUCCAUCUUAUGUCCAACACAUAAAAGAGUGACCACAACCACAAGACCAGACAGUGGCAACACCUAGUCUUUGAUUCAUUUCAAGUCCUAACAUUUUGUCACUGUUUUACAUGACUAUCGUGUUAGUUAAUAUUUCUGUGAUAACCUUGAGUAGUUUGGGGAAAGCUUUUUUUAUGGAUCCAGUGAUGUACUCUGAGUUUAGGACCGACUAUUGUUGCUCAUCUGCCUAGUAAAAUCCAAUGACUUGGAUUUAUUUCGCCCCAACCAAACACCAUCUGAUGUAGAUGUUUUGC
ensembl:lncRNA